rnacentral:rRNA from 1 species
CAGGUUGUGAGCUCGAUGAGUAGGGCGGGACACGUGGUAUCCUGUCUGAAUAUGGGGGGACCAUCCUCCAAGGCUAAAUACUCCUGACUGACCGAUAGUGAACCAGUACCGUGAGGGAAAGGCGAAAAGAACCCCGGCGAGGGGAGUGAAAAAGAACCUGAAACCGUGUACGUACAAGCAGUGGGAGCACCCUCUGGGGUGUGACUGCGUACCUUUUGUAUAAUGGGUCAGCGACUUAUAUUCUGUAGCAAGGUUAACCGAAUAGGGGAGCCGAAGGGAAACCGAGUCUUAACUGGGCGUUAAGUUGCAGGGUAUAGACCCGAAACCCGGUGAUCUAGCCAUGGGCAGGUUGAAGGUUGGGUAACACUAACUGGAGGACCGAACCGACUAAUGUUGAAAAAUUAGCGGAUGACUUGUGGCUGGGGGUGAAAGGCCAAUCAAACCGGGAGAUAGCUGGUUCUCCCCGAAAGCUAUUUAGGUAGCGCCUCGUGAAUUCAUCUCCGGGGGUAGAGCACUGUUUCGGCUAGGGGGCCAUCCCGGCUUACCAACCCGAUGCAAACUGCGAAUACCGGAGAAUGUUAUCACGGGAGACACACGGCGGGUGCUAACGUCCGUCGUGAAGAGGGAAACAACCCAGACCGCCAGCUAAGGUCCCAAAGUCAUGGUUAAGUGGGAAACGAUGUGGGAAGGCCCAGACAGCCAGGAUGUUGGCUUAGAAGCAGCCAUCAUUUAAAGAAAGCGUAAUAGCUCACUGGUCGAGUCGGCCUGCGCGGAAGAUGUAACGGGGCUAAACCAUGCACCGAAGCUGCGGCAGCGACACGAAUGUGUUGUUGGGUAGGGGAGCGUUCUGUAAGCCUGCGAAGGUGUGCUGUGAGGCAUGCUGGAGGUAUCAGAAGUGCGAAUGCUGACAUAAGUAACGAUAAAGCGGGUGAAAAGCCCGCUCGCCGGAAGACCAAGGGUUCCUGUCCAACGUUAAUCGGGGCAGGGUGAGUCGACCCCUAAGGCGAGGCCGAAAGGCGUAGUCGAUGGGAAACAGGUUAAUAUUCCUGUACUUGGUGUUACUGCGAAGGGGGGACGGAGAAGGCUAUGUCAUCCGGGCGACGGUUGUCCCGGUUUAAGCGUGCAGGUGUGUGUUCCAGGUAAAUCCGGUUCACUUUAACACUGAGGCGUGAUGACGAGGCACUACGGUGCUGAAGUGACAAAUGCCCUGCUUCCAGGAAAAGCCUCUAAGC